rnacentral:rRNA from 1 species
UACGGGAGGCAGCAGUGGGGAAUAUUGGACAAUGGGGGAAACCCUGAUCCAGCGACGCCGCGUGAGUGAAGAAGUAUUUCGGUAUGUAAAGCUCUAUCAGCAGGGAAGAAAAUGACGGUACCUGACUAAGAAGCCCCGGCUAACUACGUGCCAGCAGCCGCGGUAAUACACUCUCCAGCAG